UUAAUUAAAAAAUUUAUAAAUUUGAAUAUCUUAAGGGAUAAGCUUUAAGAUAAAUUGUUAAAAAUUAAUAAAUAUUAAUAUAAAAUGUAUGCUUAGAAUUAGUAAUCAUUAGUAAGUUUGUUAUAAAUUAUUUUAUGUCGUAUAUUAUUUAUUUUGUUUUAAUUUUAUAUAAAAAUUUUUUUAUUAAUAAAUUAUAAAAAGUAAUAAUGAUAGAAUUAGUAUAUUUGUUGUAUAGAUAAAUGUAUGUGAUAAGUUUAUAUAAAGAACUCGGCAAAUUUUUUACCCGCCUGUUUAACAAAAACAUGUCUUUUUGAGUUAUUUUUAAAGUCUGACCUGCCCACUGAAUUUUAAAUGGCCGCAGUAUUCUAACUGUGCAAAGGUAGCAUAAUCA
rnacentral:rRNA from 1 species